CAUAUAUUGAAACACAGGUUCCCAUACAAUCACCAAAGUUAAGCAACAUCAAGCCUACUUAGUUCCUAGAUGGGUGACUGCUUGGAAAUACCAGGUGCUGUAAG
rnacentral:rRNA from 1 species